UUUCGGCAGCGGCACCAAACUGGAUGUUGGCAGCAACAGUCGUCCUAAAGUGAGCGUCCUGCCGCCGUCCAGUGAAGAGAUUUCCACAAAGCAAACAGCAACACUGAUGUGUGUGGCCAACAAGGGCUUCCCCUCAGACUGGAGUCUGAACUGGAAGGUGGACGGGAUCAGCAGCAGGUCUCAGUACAGCAGUGUUGCUCUCCUGGAGAAGGACGGUCUGUACAGCUGGAGCAGCAGUCUGACUCUCUCUGAGCAGGAGUGGAGCUCAGUGAUCUCAGUCAGCUGUGAGCUCACACAGAAAGACCAGCGUGAUAAAGUCACUGGAGAAUUGAGGAGAGAUCAGUGUUCACAGUAGAUCCACUCACUCUCACAUCAAGACUAACAGACUAACUGUGUUUCUCUUCAUUUCUCUCUCUCAUCUCACAUCAAACAACACAAGUCUAUGUCUGCUUUAUUCAUUCACUCAUGAUUGUGUGACAAUUCAUCAAAUAAAAUCAUAUUCUAUCUUUA